AUGUCCUUGGAAGUGACUGCCUGCUGGAUCCCUUGGAUGAGAGAAAUAUUCGGCAGAUAUUCAGCCCUUGCCGGAGAUACUAUGGGAGGAGCUCUUCUCUUCCCUAUUCCAGCGGGCAAAGACACAUCCAGAUGGAGCCUGCAUCGCUUUGCUCUCACUGCUGUAGUGGAGACAAAGAUGCCCGAAUCCCCAAGCUACCUUUAUCCAGGCGUUGACUUGUACAUGACCCUGGACUCAAACGGCCAAUCCCCAUUUUGUCGUGCCACAGGAUCGCAAAAGUUUGACAUUCGUGGAGGCCCCGCAGGAUGGGCCCGACCAACAGGGCCGAUUCGAAAAUUGUAGCUGCGUUUUUCGGCUCCCCAGUGUUCAUGUAGGGGCGGCACUACUGGGAGAUGGAGGUGGGAGACAGGCCAGAGUUGGAGGUGGCAGUGUGUUUCGAGUCGAUGAACAUGAAGAACAAUGUGCCAGUUGCCCCAGGGACACCUUUUCACUGAUGGCCUUCCAGUCAAUAAGUGGGGGUAGUUUCUGAAUCACCUUCCCCUUCACCUAGCUCUCUAUGGCCCUUCCUAUCUGCCGGGCUGUAAUUUUCCUGGAUUAUGAGGCCGAAGUCAUCUCUUUCUACAACCUGUGGGAGAAAUACCUCAUCCACACCUUGCCUCCUGUCCACUUCUCCAGUUCGUCCCGAUUCAUCUUCUCCCUUUGUCUUACAUUUGGGGUUCUAAAUGCAGGGCCAUUGACCACGGGACGAGUGUGCAAGAGCCACCUCCUUAGCCGAAAUUGAGAUUGACCUCCCCCCACCACCCUUACUGCUGCUUGAGUAGGUUUGACACAUUCUCCUGCCCGGAAAAAGUUAAUCCUUCUAUUCCCACGCUCCCCUUCCAUGACCCUUGGAGAGGGGUUUGCCUCUCCAACAACAACCCUCCACACCAGAGGUGCUAUUUCAUGGUUAAUCCUUUCAGUUCCCCCAGAGGAAACUCCCCUUCUCCCCUCGACCCGAACCCCAGACAACCGAGUACCAGAGUUCACACAACGCAGAUCAAGACAAAUACCUGGAAUCUCUCAGGGGAGUUAAUUGCAGUAGAAUUGAAAAUGCAUUGGAGACUAGUCUUUUCUUCCUUUCACCCCAGUUAAACAGGAUCAUGGUCUAGAGGGAGCAUGGGCUCUGCCACCCAUUUUCCCUUCUCCUCUGCUUGUUGUACCUCAUUUCCCAUUCAUCUCCCUUUCCCUUACGUGACUCCAGAAGAUGUUUUCCAAGCUGGUCCUGGACAGGGAGCCCAGUUCAGGGAAGCUUCCGGUGGUGCUGCCACCCAAAAUCAGAAAAUGAUAUCUCUUGAGUGUUUGCAAUGUUCAGGUUAUGGAACUGAAAGUUGGGAGACUAAAUGCUGAGGGUUGAUGAGAGCGAGCCUGGCGUCCAACUAACAGUCAAAAUAAUAAUAGGGAGCUAUAGUAAGUGCUCUGGGGGUGGGAACAAGAUGGAAAGUGUAUCAAAAUACUUCGGGGAUAUGAAUGCCAGGGUACUGAUGACAUCAUAUCAGCUAUGAAACUCAAAGUCAUUCUUCGGGUGAAAGCUGUGAAUUCACAGUGUUCUGUAUUGCUUUGGAACUGCAAGUAUCUUUGGUGCUACCUCCUAUCUUACAUCGGCUCAAAAAACGACUGUGGAAUAGACAAGAGCCAAUUUCCUUCCAGGUGAGGGGCAACACCCCAGAUGCCAAACUGUGCAGGCCCCAUGUCAAUAGUACUAUCCUCUACCUUUAUAUCAGUCUACAAAUGUUCAGGAUGUAACUUUUAAUCCUCCUUCACACUUUGAGUAACUCGGAGUGUUAGAGACCUUUUCCCCUCAAGAUCACAAUAGGGGCAUGAGUCCUCCAGAUUCCGGACUAAGUGCAAAUAGAUUGGGCAGUACUUGGCAGUUCAAAAAUACCACCACUAUCAUCACUAAUAAUCAUUGUACUAUUAUUAGUAAACAUUAAUGGUUAUCAUAACUUUUUAACCUCAUCAUUUUUAUGACCCCAGCCAAUUAUUCCCUGGCAGCGAAGAUGGCUAUUGUUCUAUUGGAAAGUAUCAAUGAAGAAGUCAGAAAAGUUUCCACUUCCACCCCACCUAAGGAGCCAGAGCCAGAAAGAAGAGGCUCUAUAUCCAAAUCUGUAUCCACCACUCUUGUCAUGUCGUCAGAAGAAUGAAGUUAGCUUUCAUGCCUACACUUGCUUAUUAUUAACUCUAUAUUUAGCAAUAUUUGGUGAUGAUGGCAUCAGGUCCACGUCAGAAUAGCACACGGGACUUGAUUCCGGAGCGUUGAAGGUAAAAUUCUUGUGGGCAGAGAAUGUGCCUGGUCCUUCUGUUGUCCUUCUAUAAUAUAGCAGGGUCACCAU
rnacentral:lncRNA from 1 species